rnacentral:rRNA from 1 species
UACGUAGGGUGCGAGCGUUGUCCGGAAUUAUUGGGCGUAAAGAGCUCGUAGGCGGUCUGUCACGUCGGAUGUGAAAACUCGGGGCUCAACCCCGAGCCUGCAUUCGAUACGGGCAGACUAGAGUUCGGUAGGGGAGACUGGAAUUCCUGGUGUAGCGGUGAAAAUGCGCAGAUAUCAGGAGGAACACCGGUGGCGAAGGCGGGUCUCUGGGCAGUAACUGACGCUGAGGAGCGAAAGCGUGGGGAGCGAACAGG